AUUGAACGCUGGCGGCAGGCCUAACACAUGCAAGUCGAGCGGAGCGGCGGACGGGUGAGUAAUGCCUAGGAAUCUGCCUGGUAGUGGGGGAUAACGUCCGGAAACGGGCGCUAAUACCGCAUACUUUCGGAUGAGCCUAGGUCGGGUUAGCUAGUUGGUGGGGUAAAGGCCUACACAGUCGACGUUCCGUAGCUGGUCUGAGAGGAUGAUCAGUCACACUGGAACUGAUACACGGUCCAGAAUCCGACGGGAGGCAGCAGUGGGGAAUAGUGGACAAUGGGCGAAAGCCUGAUGCAGCCAUGCCGCGUGUGUGAAGAAGGUCUUCGGAUUGUAAAGCACUUUAAGUUGGGAGGCGUUACCAACAGAAUAAGCACCGGCUAACUUCGUGCCAGCCGCCGCGGUAAUUC
rnacentral:rRNA from 1 species